GUUGGGGUUCCCGAGCGGCCAAAGGGAGCAGACUGUAAAUCUGCCGUCAUCGACUUCGAAGGUUCGAAUCCUUCCCCCACCACCA
rnacentral:tRNA from 1 species